CUGGCAGCUGAGCCCUCUUCGUCAGGAGUUCUCAAUGGCCCCCAAGGUGCCUUUGUUUCCUCAAGGGGUUUUCAUAGCAUCCUCAGCUGUGGAAGGCAAUGUAUCGCAUCCUGUAUUACCUUCCCCUGACCUCAUAGCUUCCCAAAACAGGAACAAUCAUGGGCUUUGAAGUUACAGGAAUGCAGAUGUGAUUCCUAUGGAUGAGGGUAACCUAGAGGCUAGAAGAACAAUAGGACAGAAGAAGCCUGGGUCCCUGAACAACCUUGUGGAGCAUAGACACCUACGUGGCCUGGACUGCCAGCUCACAAUGGGCCUCUCUGUGAGAGAAGGAAACUUCCCUCUUGUUUAAGCAACUGUGCUUUUGAGAAUCUCUUGGUCUAUACCCUAAUGAAUAAGGCCAUCAUAAAUGGAUAUCAAAAUGGAGUUUCACCCUUGUUGUCCAGACUGGAGUGCAAUGGCGCGAUCUCGGCUCCCGG
rnacentral:lncRNA from 1 species